CAAAAGUGCAAAGGUGACCAUUUUUCAGUUAGCUCUAAGUAUGUUUAGGAAAGAGUCAAUGACGGUAAAUUUCCGACGGAUGAAAUUCCAUCUGCCUCAAACACAGGCUCUGUGCCCACAGAGACUCCGAAGCAUAGGUUUCUUGGCAUCCUUCCCGCCAGGAAACAAGUACUCAUUCUUCUGGCUGGAGCCAGUUAUGUUGAUGCUGCAAUGUUUGAAGUCAUCAUCUUAUCUGAUUUCACUGUAAGCAUGGAAUGGAACAGAAGUUCUUGACAGUAAUCACAGAUUGUCCAAGAAGAUUAGCCAGCAGGAUGACCCUAAGAUCCUAGAGAAAUUACACAGUCAGGUUUUCUUUAGAGAAGAUGGAGAAACAACUCAAGCAUUUACAGGUCUUCUGAAUGGAAGGGCAUUAGACUCCGAGAACUGUUUCAAACGUGAAUUGCACUUCAAAGUAGCCUAGACCCAGAGCCAGUCACUCAGAGCCCCCCUUCAGGCUUUGGAAGACUGUUCUUCCUGCGUUUAUACGUCAUUUGGUACUUUUUCAGAAAUAACUAAAUUUAGCAACAUGAGAAAUAGUCACAAAUACUUGAAGAUGAGGAAGUAGAAAUAAAAGUUCAAACAAUAUGACAGACUUGUUUAAGGACACUUCAUCAGGAGCAAAACACUCAAUAUUAAUUCCAAAUUAAUAUUUUGGGUCUUGAAAUUA
rnacentral:lncRNA from 1 species